GUUUAUGGUAAGAAAGAAAUAGCAAGGUACAACUGUUUUAGAUGAUUAAUUGAGAGAAACACUUAAGGAAAAGCUUGCAGCCUUAAAGCUUCAUGUUGUCAUAAAUUAUUCUCCUGCUGUUCCCCACCUUGCAGUUCCUGCAUGGUGAAAUCCAUUUCAUAUCUCCUGAGGACAGGCACAAAGAACACAGUGGCAGCAACAGUGUUUUGAAACAAGUGCUCAGAGCAUGAGGGGUUAACGUUAUCUUCAGCCUCCCACCUCACUGCUCACUCUGGCUAUGCAUUUCUUAUGCAGAGCUGAUUUACAGCUGCUCUGCUAAGUUUUAUCCUGGGAAAAAGCCUCAAAAAUAUGUUUCUGCUACAGAAAUUCUCCUCUUUGUAAUUGGGGAAGAAAAAGCCUAUAAAAUGUGCUAUAACGCUCUAUGAUACAGCACUUCAAAAUGUACUUCAUUACGUAUCGUGAAAGCUGGAACUUCAAAACCCAUUGAUUAAAAUGACAGCAUUUCUGUACCCUAUUACUUAGGAUAUAGUAAUUAACACUAUUCUUAGUUUGCACUGUGCACAAGGUUGGACAUGUGCAAGAAGAAACUAUGGCCUAGAAUUAAGAAGGCAAAAAUGAGAACUACCAAGUGGAAAGAAUUAUGUGACAGUGAAGUCUGUUCAACAAGUAAAAGAAUGCCUACUUAUGGAAGAUGUUACAAAUGCCUUUGGAUCCAGACAGAACGAUAAUAACUUUGAGCACAGAAAUGGACUUGCAGCUGGAUUCUCAGGAGAGCUUUCUACACUGGAUAAUAGCUCACAUAUUGAAAUGUGCUCAUCUAAGAGAUAUUAUGGUGGCAGUAAUGGGGACUGAGAUUUGCCUGCAAAGUGGAGAUGAGAAACAGGAACAGGAAUGCUGUGAAGAAGAGCAACAGAGAAAAGCUGAUCCUGGUGACUACUCUGCUUUGAAGGGGAACACUCUAGCAAGAAGGGAGGUGGAGAAACCCCAUCUUCUCUAAGAAUAUCUAAGCAAGCCAGAUUACUGAUCCAUCUGGAAGACGGGGUGGGGCAAGUAGUGGGAAAAGGCAAAGGCAGGGAAAAGCCUGAAGGAGUGAGGACUGAAGGACUCCUGAAGGGAGCAAGAGGAUACCUGCAGAAGAGGGCAGACCUAUGCCAUGUUUUAAAACCAAUAGAAAGAAAGCGACCUUCUUAAGGACACCAAAGAGAAAUCAGGGGAGAAGACACUUUCUCUCAAGCACAGAAAUACUGAAAAUUGCUAAAUAUGAAAGAAAGACUGGAGGAAAGGGCCUGUUCUUCUCAAGACAUAUAUUGUUUUUCCAGCAUUUAAUGUUUUAUUCUUCAUUUUGUAGCUUCUGAGAUUCCUUACUUAGAGAGUUAUCUGGUUUCACUGUGUGUGAGAUUUUGGGAUAUUUUUCCCGAAUAAGUUUUUGUUUAAGAAGCAGCAAAACCAUUAACUUGGUGUGGACAGGUAGGAUUUUCUUUCUAUUCUAUGUCUGUUCUGGUGCAGGGAUUGUGAGCAGAUACCCCUACACCACCUGUUGUAUCUGUCAGUACUGUUAAAUCCUAUAAGAGUACAGGGUAGCUAAGGAAUGAAGUUGAAACACCAGAGGACAGCUGCACAAGGACAAAGAAGAGGUAGCCUGUCCUCCUUUGCUCUCUGUCCACGACACCAAAAUCUGGGAGUAUACAGCUUAGAUAUUUGAGGUCCCAUGAAACUAAGUGACACCACAUAACUUUCCAAAGGCAAAAUCUAGCUGGCCUUGGAUGUGAACAUCCAGUAGAAAAGUGGUAGAGAGAUAAGUGGAAGGAAAUGGUAGUUAGAAAUCAUCAAAACUGAAAGCUUUCUGCGACCUACAUGUACCUGAGAGUAUAAUGGUCAAAGAUUCAUGUUGAUGUGUAUUCUCAUUAUGGCCUACAUGAUGGCCCUUAUGCACACUUGUCAGCAAAGCACAAACCUGUACAUUACCAAACAUUGCCUGUAGUGUAGUCUGCACUCCAAACUGGCCAGUCAGGAUAUUGAAAAUGCUUUUUUUUUUUUUUUUUUUUCCCCUCAAUGUAAUAGGGUGUCUGUGGGAUAUGUACAAUAUAUUAGAUUGGUUUCCAGCCACCUGCCAGAAUUUGAUGGCAGGAAAUUUGCACAGCUCUUGUUGCAACCAAGUGACAGAUAAUAAGAGAAAGGUGCCAUUGUUGGAACUAUCAGUAUCAGAUUUUCUAAUACAGCUGUGUUGUAAUGAGAUCAUACACAUUGCUCAAGCUGCAAUCAGAACUUCCACUGAAGGAAUGAGCCUGGAUAAUAAUAAAAGCAGAAAACAUUUUAAGUAAAUAGAAUUU
rnacentral:lncRNA from 1 species